rnacentral:rRNA from 1 species
CCUACGGGAGGCAGCAGUAGGGAAUUUUCGUCAAUGGGCGCAAGCCUGAACGAGCAAUGCCGCGUGAACGAGGAAGGUCUUCGGAUCGUAAAGUUCUGUUGAAGGGGAAAAAGAGCGGAGAGAGGAAAUGGUCUCCGAUUGAUAUUACCCUUCGAGGAAGUCACGGCUAACUACGUGCCAGCAGCCGCGGUAAUACGUAGGUGGCGAGCGUUAUCCGGAAUGAUUGGGCGUCAAGGGUGCGUAGGCGGCCUGCUAAGUCUGGAGUGAAAGGUACCGGCUAGACCGGUACAGGCUCUGGAAACUGGCGGGCUAGAGAGCAGGAGAGGGCGGUGGAACUCCAUGUGUAGCGGUAAAAUGCGUAGAUAUAUGGAAGAACACCAGUGGCGAAGGCGGCCGCCUGGCCUGUUACUGACGCUGAGGCACGAAAGCGUGGGGAGCAAAUAGGAUUAGAUACCCUGGUAGUC